rnacentral:rRNA from 1 species
CGGGUGAGUAACGCGUGAGGAACCUGCCUCAAAGAGGGGGACAACAGUUGGAAACGACUGCUAAUACCGCAUAAGCCCACGGCUCGGCAUCGAGCAGAGGGAAAAGGAGCAAUCCGCUUUGAGAUGGCCUCGCGUCCGAUUAGCUAGUUGGUGAGGUAACGGCCCACCAAGGCGACGAUUGGUAGCCGGACUGAGAGGUUGAACGGCCACAUUGGGACUGAGACACGGCCCAG